rnacentral:rRNA from 1 species
CUUUUACAAUGAAGAGUUUGAUCCUGGCUCAGGAUGAACGCUAGCUACAGGCUUAACACAUGCAAGUCGAGGGGCAGCGGGAUUGUAGCAAUACAAUUGCCGGCGACCGGCGCACGGGUGAGUAACACGUAUCCAACCUUCCGGUUACUCGGGGAUAGCCUUUCGAAAGAAAGAUUAAUACCCGAUAGUAUAAGAUUUCCGCAUGGUUUUCUUAUUAAAGAUUCAUCGGUAACCGAUGGGGAUGCGUUCCAUUAGAUAGUAGGCGGGGUAACGGCCCACCUAGUCGACGAUGGAUAGGGGUUCUGAGAGGAAGGUCCCCCACAUUGGAACUGAGACACGGUCCAAACUCCUACGGGAGGCAGCAGUGAGGAAUAUUGGUCAAUGGGCGAGAGCCUGAACCAGCCAAGUAGCGUGAAGGAUGACUGCCCUAUGGGUUGUAAACUUCUUUUAUACGGGAAUAACAUCAUCCACGUGUGGGUGUCUGCAUGUACCGUAUGAAUAAGCAUCGGCUAACUCCGUGCCAGCAGCCGCGGUAAUACGGAGGAUGCGAGCGUUAUCCGGAUUUAUUGGGUUUAAAGGGAGCGUAGACGGGUCCUUAAGUCAGUUGUGAAAGUUUGCGGCUCAACCGUAAAAUUGCAGUUGAUACUGGGGACCUUGAGUGCGGCAGAGGCAGGCGGAAUUCGUGGUGUAGCGGUGAAAUGCUUAGAUAUCACGAAGAACUCCGAUUGCGAAGGCAGCUUGCUGGACCGUAACUGACGUUGAUGCUCGAAAGUGCGGGUAUCAAACAGGAUUAGAUACCCUGGUAGUCCGCACAGUAAACGAUGAAUACUCGCUGUUGGCGAUAUACUGCCAGCGGCCAAGCGAAAGCGUUAAGUAUUCCACCUGGGGAGUACGCCGGCAACGGUGAAACUCAAAGGAAUUGACGGGGGCCCGCACAAGCGGAGGAACAUGUGGUUUAAUUCGAUGAUACGCGAGGAACCUUACCCGGGCUUGAACUGCAGCGGAAUGGCGUGGAAACAUGUCAGCGAGCAAUCGCCGCUGUGGAGGUGCUGCAUGGUUGUCGUCAGCUCGUGCCGUGAGGUGUCGGCUUAAGUGCCAUAACGAGCGCAACCCUUACCGAUAGUUGCCAUCAGGUAACGCUGGGGACUCUAUCGGGACUGCCGUCGUAAGAUGUGAGGAAGGUGGGGAUGACGUCAAAUCAGCACGGCCCUUACGUCCGGGGCUACACACGUGUUACAAUGGGGGGUACAGCAGGCCGCUACCGGGCGACCGGAUGCCAAUCCCUAAAACCCCUCUCAGUUCGGACUGGAGUCUGCAACCCGACUCCACGAAGCUGGAUUCGCUAGUAAUCGCGCAUCAGCCACGGCGCGGUGAAUACGUUCCCGGGCCUUGUACACACCGCCCGUCAAGCCAUGAAAGCCGGGGGUACCUGAAGUGCGUAACCGCAAGGAGCGCCCUAGGGUAAAACUGGUGAUUGGGGCUAAGUCGUAACAAGGUAGCCGUACCGGAAGGUGCGGCUGGAACACCUCCUUUCU